GGUGACUUGUUCCUAUAACCAUUGCGGGUCGGCCUACCAAGCACGAUCGUUACGGCCUGAGAGGCGUAUCGCCCACACUGGAACUGAGAGACGGUCCAGAUUCGUACGGGAGGCAGCAGUGGGGAAUAUUGGGCAAUGGGCGAAAGCCUGACCCAUCAACGCCGCGUGAGGAAGAAGGUCUUCGGAUUGUAAACCUCUGUCCUUGGUGACGUGACGGUAGCCAAGGAGGAAGCCCCGGCUAACUACGUGCCAGCAGCCGCGGUAAUACGGAGGGGGCAAGCGUUGUCCGGAUUUACUGGGCGUAAAGAGCGCGUAGGUGGCCUGUUAAGUCGGCUGUGAAAUCGCUGGGCUCAACCCAGCUGGGUCAGUCGAUACUGGUAGGCUCGAGUCCGGGAGAGGGAAGCGGAAUUGCUGGUGUAGCGGUGGAAUGCGUAGAU
rnacentral:rRNA from 1 species